UUGAAGUAUCCUACCAGCUCGGUUCAUUUGGUUGCUAUUUCUAUAACUGAAAGAACAUAAUAGAAUUUACAGUGAGAGAAUUAAGAAUUCAUAUCUCUUAUUACUAGUUAAAUAAUAUGUAAAUAAUAUGUAAUUCUAUGAAAUUAUUGUACAUUUAAAAUUGAAGUCCUGGUUUUUAUUUAAGAGUUCUGUUGGCUUUCAGGUAUUCUGAGCACAUUAUAUGCCAAAAGACAAAGACGGAGUAAGUAAAUGUGUUUUGCUACAGUUGAUAUUCAGUGUGUUAUGUGUAGAUGGUUUGAAUGGGCAAAGAAAGAAAAUAGAGCCCUGAGGUAACAGCUGUUUUCCUUCUUUGUUCUGCCAGAAGUAGACUUCAAUGAACAGAACUUUCAAAAUAUUCUGACCAGGUGAAGGGAGAAUCAGAAGAACUCUUCUGUGGCCCUGGCCGAGCACUUGCAGGUGAAGGGAACUUUGGAGAAGGAGGUUGGACUCAUCUGGGCUCAUCUGAGAGAAAAGGAAGAGGAGAGCCAACGUAGAACUGAAGACAUCUCCAAACUCCAGUCCGAGGUUCAGAGGACUCAGCAGGCAUUAAAACAGUUGGAAACUAGAGAGGUAGUUGAUUUGUCUAAACACAAGGCAAUGAAAAGUGAUUUGGAGGCACAGAUUGCUACUUAAAUGAAAGACUGGCCAAUCUGAAUAGAAAGUAUGAGGAAGUCUGUGAGGAGGUUUUGCAUGCCAAAAAGAAAGAGCUGCCCACAAAAGAAGAGAAGGAAUUUCUACAUUUCAACCUGGAGCAGGAGAUCAAGGAUCAGAAGGAACAACAGCUGCAGAGAAGAAUUCAAGAAUCUGCUAAAACACUUGAAGCCAAAGAUGGUAUCUCAGGGACAUCAGUAAAAUGGGAGGAUUCCUGUGGUCCAGGCAGGAAGAUGGUUUUCGUCCAGUGGAGGCAUCUGCCUGAGUCACCGAGUGUGCACAGUCUUCCUGGAACUGCUGCUGAGCUUCCCAGAGUCCUUCCUUCCUCUGUUUCCUGAAUGGCAAGCAGGGCUGCUGGUGACUCCCUGGGAAGAGGACAAGCCUCCCCCCCACAUACCUAUUGGCAGUGAGUGUGGGGAUCUGCGCCAGCUCAUCUCAGGGAAUAAGAAGCUGCCUGGGUCCAGCACUUGUGGGGCAAAGGUUGGAGCCUGCUCUUGGAGGGUCACUUUGAAGAUGAAUCUGGGAGCUUGAAUGUUUGUGUGCUGCUUAUUGGGAGUCCCACUAAAUCUUUGGUUGAUCAACCACAACUAGGGGGACCUGAGCAUCUGUUUUACCAAACUGCCUGUUUGUGAACAGACCUGAAGCUCAGGGGAUGCUGCCUGCUGGCCACAAGGAGCCACCCUUGAUAUUGGGACCCAGCUGAAGUCCCAGGGUGUCUGUCAUAAAUGUGUGGUGGUCAGUAGUCAGGGCAACACCUCUGUGAUGCUCACCCACCUCUGUGAUGCUCACCCACUCAGGCACUCUUGGCCUGGGGUCUGGGAGACUGAAGAUUGUGACCUCACUUGUUUGGAUAAUGCUGUGUCUUCAUGAGAUGAUAAGAUUGAAAGGCCCUCACUUGAACUGUCCUGUGAGAUAGUGAAUGCCACCUCCUCGACUAAGAGACAGUUGAAAUCUGUGUCAUCACUGAACAGAAGGGCGAACACUGUCCUGUCAGCUUAUGGAAUUUGAAUACCCUCUCCUCAAAAAAGGGAAAUGUGAACACACAUUGUCCAGUACAGACUGAGGAAUUGUCACCCAGUACUCAGCUGAAGAAAGCCAAAUUCCUUCUCCUUAUUGACAGUAGGGGAAAGCUGUGCCCUUACAUGAGAGUAAGGCGAAUGCUGUCUUCACAUGAAGAAAUUUUGAGAUCCUGUCCUGGAGUUGAAGUGAGGGUGAAUGUGGUAUCCCUCAGGUGAUGGUAGGAUGAAUACCCUGUCUUUUCCUGAUGGAAGGUUGAAUGCUCUAUGUCCAUCUGAUAGAACGUGAAGGAAGUAUCGUCAUGUGAGUGUUGUGAAUGCAGGGUCCUCACAUGAUGUUAGGGUGAAGGCUGCAUCAUCAUGGAGAUGUGAGCCAUGUGCCCUCACAGAAGUCUGAAUCCAGUGUUCUCAUUAAUUGGAAAAUGAAGGUCCUGUCCUCACCUGAUGGAAGGGGGGAGUUGUGUUCUAUUGAUAGAAGGGAAACAUCUUUUCCUCACCCAAGGGAAGGGUGGACACCCUCUUCUCAUGUGUCCAUGGGAUGAAAGCCAUGUCCUUACAUGAUGAAACCCUGUAGGUAGGGGGAAUGUCCUGUCCUCAGCAGAGAGUAUGGAUGAUGCCAAGCACUCACCUGAUGUAAGUGUGCAUGUCACUUCCUCUCAAGGUGGUAGGGUUCAAGUCUUGUUCUCACAUGAUAGAAGGGUGAAUGCCACGUCUUCAUUGGGUGGAAUUUUGAGUGCUCUUCCUAAGCCUGAGGAAAGACUCAGUCUCUGUCAUCACAAAUGCCCUAUUCUGUGCUGAUGGAAAAGUAAUCACGUGGUCACUUCUGCGAGAAUGUGAAUACCUGCUCUUCAACUUGAGAAGGAUGGAGUCUGUGUUCUCAUUGGACAGAAAGGCAAACAGCAUGAUCUCACCAUACAGAGUUUUAAAUGCCCUCUUCUCACUAAGGGAUGUGUGAACAUACUAUUCCAUAUUGACUGAAAGACUAGCACCCAGUACUCACAUGAUGGGAGGCUGACUGCCUUCUCUUCUUUACAUUGAAGAAAGGUGAAUUCCAUCUCCUCACAUGAAGAUAGGGGAAAGUUUCUGUCCUCCUGUGAUGGAAGGGUGAAUGUGGGGUCCUCAGUCAUGGUUGGGUGAAUGCCCAGGCCUUUCCUGAUGGAGGGUUGAGAGUCUGUUCUCACUUAAUGGAAGGUUGAGGGACGUGUUGUCAUGUGAGUGUCUGGGGAAUGCAGGGUCUUUAC